GCCUGCCGCGAGCCAAUGGUGCUGCGGGUUCGCGCCCGCAACGUAAGCGAAAACCAAAGGCGCAAAAAACAUAACUUGCAAACUAUGCGGGAUUACGGGCGAGAGUCUCUGCUCGUCCCUCCAUCCCCGGGUGUUAUAGCCGGCAGGCGGCGCCGGUGGGUCGCGUUCGCGCGUGGCCCCCGGUGUCGUGCCAUAACAUACCGCGAGUGUGCAGGAUGUGACCCGAAAGAUGGUGAACUAUGCCUGAUCAGGUUGAAGUCAGGGGAAACCCUGAUGGAGGACCGAAGCAAUUCUGACGUGCAAAUCGAUUGUCAGAGUUGGGCAUAGGGGCGAAAGACCAAUCGAACCAUCUAGUAGCUGGUUCCUUCCGAAA
rnacentral:rRNA from 1 species